CCUACGGGAGGCAGCAGUGGGGAAUAUUGCACAAUGGGGGGAACCCUGAUUCAGCGACGCCGCGUGAGUGAAGAAGUAUUUCGGUAUGUAAAGCUCUAUCAGCAGGGAAGAAAUAAAGUCCUUCGGACUUUGGACGGUACCUGACUAAGAAGCCCCGGCUAACUACGUGCCAGCAGCCGCGGUAAUACGUAGGGGGCAAGCGUUAUCCGGAUUUACUGGGUGUAAAGGGAGCGUAGACGGCAGCGCAAGUCUGGAGUGAAAUCCCAUGGCUUAACCAUGGAACUGCUUUGGAAACUGUGCAGCUGGAGUGCAGGAGAGGUAAGCGGAAUUCCUAGUGUAGCGGUGAAAUGCGUAGAUAUUAGGAGGAACACCAGUGGCGAAGGCGGCUUACUGGACUGUAACUGACGUUGAGGCUCGAAAGCGUGGGGAGCAAACAGGAUUAGAUACCCCUGUAGUC
rnacentral:rRNA from 1 species